CAGAAGUAAGGAAUGCCGUUAUGGUGAUCAUGGGCAUACAGGAGCAUGCGGAUCUGUCCUAAGGGCCAACUAGGGCUUAGGGACAUGCAGACAGACUUCCUGGCAAAUGGCAACAUUAAUGUCCAGUUUUAUUAAAACAAAAUAAAACUCUUACUGCUGGGCUUUAGCAGUUCUUCAUCCAGUGGUUUCAUUCUGAAUGUUUGUGCCCUCCCCUCCUCUACACAACCUCCCCAUCUAUAGGCCCAGAACUGUUAUAAUGCCCUCCUGCACAGUAAAAGGACAGGUAAG